AACUAACGCUGGCGGCGCGUCUUAAACAUGCAAGUCGAACGGUAGUCCAUAAGCUUGCUUAAGGAUGAGAGUGGCGAACGGGUGAGUAACACGUGGAUAAUCUGCCUCCGGGUUGGGGAUAACUGUCCGAAAGGAUAGCUAAUACCGAAUGAGAUGGUGGUUAUGCAGAUAACAGCCAUUAAAGGUGGGGACCGCAAGGCCUACUGCCUGGAGAUGAGUCCGCGGCUGAUUAGCUUGUUGGUGGGGUAACGGCCUACCAAGGCGACGAUCAGUAGCCGGCCUGAGAGGGUGAACGGCCACAUUGGGACUGAGAUACGGCCCAGACUCCUACGGGAGGCAGCAGUUAAGAAUCUUGCACAAUGGGCGCAAGCCUGAUGCAGCGACGCCGCGUGAAUGAUGAAGGCUUUAGGGUUGUAAAGUUCAGUAAGC
rnacentral:rRNA from 1 species